rnacentral:rRNA from 1 species
CUGGUGUCAGCCGCCGCGGUAAUACCAGCUCUCCGAGUGGUAGGGAUGAUUAUUGGGCUUAAAGCGUCCGUAGCUGGCUUUUCAAGUCUCUCGUUAAAUCCAGCGAUUCAAUCGUUGGGCCGCGGGGGAUACUGUUGAGCUUGGGGGCGGGAGAAGCCGACGGUAUUUCCGGUGUAGGGGUAAAAUCCUAUAAUCCCGGGAGGACCACCAGUGGCGUAGGCGGUCGGCUAGCACGCGCUCGACGGUGAGGGACGAAAGCUGGGGGAGCGAACCGGAUUAGAUACCCGGAUAGUCCCAGCUGUAAACGAUGCGGGCUAGGUGUUGGAGCGGCCACGAGCUGCUUCAGUGCCGCAGGAAAACCAUUAAGCCCGCCGCCUGGGGAGUACGGCCGCAAGGCUGAAACUUAAAGGAAUUGGCGGGGGAGCACCACAAGGGGUGAAGCUUGCGGUUUAAUUGGAGUCAACGCCGGGAACCUUACCGGGGGCGACAGCAGGAUGAAAGCCAGAUUGAAGGUCUUGCUAGACGAGCU